AAAACAUUUGGACCUGACCAUGUUAAUAUUGCGAAAACGUACAACAAUCUGGGUUCGGUUUACAGAGAUAUGGGAGAGUACGAAAAAGCAAAA